UCCUCACCCGAUUUCAAAAACUGGUAUUUAUUUUAAAAAUUAAGAUACAGCGGUGGAGUGAAGUAAAAAACGCCGUGUUGCGUCUUGGAUAUUAAACUCGAAUAUUUUAUCUUUCUAAUGGAAAACACUUCGGUAAAAUCGAAAAAACCUUCUUGCAACCAGUGGCAUGCACAGACGGGGAGUUUAGAUGUUACACCCCUCUCCAUUAUUCACUUACAAACACAAUAAUCGUGAGUAUUUAUUUAGUAGUUUAAUCUUAAAAGUACAUAUUUCGCGGCUUUUGUACAAGAAAAAUUUUUGAUUCAUUGAAUAAAAAUCUGUCUUUAUAAUCUGGCUUUUAAAUCCUCAUUAUCUAGAUAGGUAAAACAGAAGAAGAUUCUAUGGUUUAUUCACGACGAAACCUGAUUAUUAUUUAUUACAUUUUCACCCUUUGCAAAAUUCCCGGGCACGUCAAUGUGUAUAUACUAACAAAGCUAAUAAAACACGUCUUACGAGCUAUGAGUUACGAUAAAAUACCUCAUAUACCUGAUUUAGUCAUAAGCAAUACGCAGCCGUGCUUCGUAGGAUACCCGUACAGGUCGAAAUUGCAGUAUACAGGUCGUUCACUUGUGAUUGACUGUUGCGGCUGACGAACCAUAGCUAUUCGUAAUCGGAA